rnacentral:sRNA from 1 species
UCAAGACGACCUGGCCGCCAGCCUUAUUCUGCGGGACGACCCG